rnacentral:rRNA from 1 species
UACGUAGGGUGCGAGCGUUGUCCGGAAUUACUGGGCGUAAAGAGCUCGUAGGUGGUUUGUCGCGUUGUUCGUGAAAUCUCACGGCUUAACUGUGAGCGUGCGGGCGAUACGGGCAGACUAGAGUACUGCAGGGGAGACUGGAAUUCCUGGUGUAGCGGUGGAAUGCGCAGAUAUCAGGAGGAACACCGGUGGCGAAGGCGAGUCUCUGGGCAGUAACUGACGCUGAGGAGCGAAAGCGUGGGGAGCGAACAGG